rnacentral:rRNA from 1 species
UACGUAGGGGGCUAGCGUUGUCCGGAUUUAUUGGGCGUAAAGAGCGUGUAGGCGGCCAGGUAGGUCCGCUGUGAAAGUCCGAGGCUCAACCUCGGAAUGUCGGCGGAAACCCUCUGGCUAGAGUCCGGAAGAGGAGAGUGGAAUUCCUGGUGUAGCGGUGAAAUGCGCAGAUAUCAGGAAGAACACCCGUGGCUAAGGCGGCUUCCUGGACCGACACUGACGCUGAGGCGCGAAAGCUAGGGGAGCAAACGGG